UGUUUCUCCGGGGCACAAAGAGGAUCCGUGGAAUUUCGUUGUGCCACGAAGAUCGAGGCUUUCUCGGGGCUCGAUGCUGAGAAGAGAGGAAUGAGCAAAUGUUAGAACGAAAGAUAGAUUUGUAAUUGUAUGCAUGACGAUAGAAAUAGAAAGAAAAAUACGUAAUGCACGAGGAAUUGGUGUGUAUGAGACAACUAUAAUCGAAAUAACACGUUAAACACGAACCAAAAACAUCUUGUAAAGAACACCUGUAUUCUUUAUUUGUCUUUAGUAAUUUCAAAUAUGAGAAGUCCGAAGUUUCUCAAUUUUAGAUCACGAUUUUAGAAUUAUGAAAUGUUUCACAGAAUCUGAUGAUCCUAUGUGUAAAUACUACGCGUGACAGCUACCCGGCUACAAAUUUAGAAUUAGAAGCAUGAAGAAUUAUAAGGAUAUUGUUC
rnacentral:misc_RNA from 1 species